AAGCUAUACCGGUAUCAUACUGGGACUAUAAUAUCACUGUUAGACGAUCAACACAGGACAGACCAUAGGAAAGGCCCUGCCUUUAGAGAUACAAAACCGACAUAAUGAAGACCUUCCUGAUUUUAACAAUUCUCCUCGCCACCCUACUGCAUUACAGCAGUAGCGCUACUUUCGGUGGGCAGGCACCGGAACAAGAAUGUAGCCUUGUGGGAUGCUUUGAUACUGAGAGAGCAUGCAUGAACGAAUGUGAUCUUUAUAACUGUGGGGAAGGAUGCUCGUAUCAUGAAGAUCUCGAGAAGUACACGUGCGACUGCGUUCAAUUCGUCUAUAAAUAAACCAUCAAGGACGUCACACAUAUUUGUGUUUAUGCUUCCAUAGAUGAUGCUGUCAGUAACUCAAUCAGGCGUGUGACGUCAGUAGUUCUAUUUGUAAAUAAUAGUUAAGAUCAAUACCAAGAAGAAUUAUGUUUAAAUAUCCAGUAACUUCCCUUACGUAAUUCUUGUUAUGGAAAUAAAGAUAAAAUGUU